GAAGGCGGUAAAGCGGUCACUCCCAAAACUUACCUGCAAUAUUCCAUUUCCCUUCCAAACUCCAUUCAACAUAACAGACCGUCGACGUUUCCAACACAGCUCGCGUCCCGCUUUAAUUCUCCAGCAGUCCAAACUAUUAAACUAAAUUACAACUCUAGAUGGCGACGAGCUAAAAUCAAUGCAAGCUUUUCAGCUCAUUGUGAGCGUUCAAAUUCUCAUUCCCUUACCUUCCUAACUUUGAUUGUCAGGCUGCCUAAUUCGCGUGAAUUCCUUUGAACUACGCAGAUUGGGUUUCAAACUCUGGGAUCAUCUCAAAUCUAUUGUUCACAUCACAAUAUUUUGAGUAAGGUUUUCUAGACUCCUUAGCGCUGUUAUCUAUUUGGCAGACAACUUUACAAUGAAAACCAGCUUGCUGAAAUCUCUUCGAUAUUAUUGUGCUUUUCUUUUUUGUAUUUAAGGAUAUACUAUACAUGACUUGAACUUUA